UACGGAGGGUGCAAGCGUUAUCCGGAUUCACUGGGUUUAAAGGGUGCGUAGGUGGGCAGGUAAGUCAGUGGUGAAAUCUCCGGGCUUAACCCGGAAACUGCCAUUGAUACUAUCUGUCUUGAAUACCGUGGAGGUGAGCGGAAUAUGUCAUGUAGCGGUGAAAUGCUUAGAUAUGACAUAGAACACCAAUUGCGAAGGCAGCUCACUACACGAAUAUUGACACUGAGGCACGAAAGCGUGGGGAGCGAACAGG
rnacentral:rRNA from 1 species